rnacentral:sRNA from 1 species
UUACCCCAUGAUGUUCAGGUCCGCCGCAUCUCCUGGGUCGUGGGGUUUGUCGGCUGACUCGUAGCCAAUAACGGUUCCUCGUGCCGUGGCUGCGGUCAGCCGACGCCCAU